rnacentral:lncRNA from 1 species
GAUGGUAACUUUUCCCUUUCUAUGGGCUCCUGCCAGUACUUUGAGCAACUAGAAGGAAGUUCACUACCAAGUUUGUGUGGUGAAUUUGGGGAUAGGUGGGAGAAGAAGAAACGUUGAGUCUCAUAAGGUGUGAUUUAAUUUUAAAAAUGCUUACGCUGCUUUUUAUAAGACUAUCCAUUUAACUAGAUUUCUUUCUUGCUGACAAAAGAGGCAAUUUCUGUGUAUAAAAUAAAUCUUAUUAAAACUCCUUCUCUGUUUCUGUCAAGGUGAAGGAUACAGACCCCAGGAACAGCACACAUUUGGAUUCCUAGUGUGUGCAAAUGAUUGUUUAUGGGAUGCCGGGUGCCAAGACCCACAGAAAGCUCUUGUGCUGGCCUAUAAAAGUAGAAGGAAUGGAAAGCUUUUCCUGAGGCAUAAAAAGUUUAUUUUAUUUCUUAUUCUCUUUCACAGUGGUAGCUAUUACUUCGUAAUUUUCUCGACAUUUUGUGGCAGCCAAAAAUGACAGAAAUAAUAUCCCUUGCUUACAAUGUUUAGUUCCAAUUCAUUUUGUUUAGCUCAAGUUGCCUCAUAUGAUAAAGGCAGCAGCUGCUAGACUUUGUGCAGAGGUCUAAACCAGAGCGAGUUCCUUUGAGUGAGUCCUUAAACAGAAAGGCAGAGCAAGUUGCCUUUCCUUUCCUUUUUCCUGGCAGGAUUUUGAGAACGCAGAGAAUAGCGAGAAUGAAUACAGCUUUAGUAAUUAUCAUUGAAGUCUUUUUCAGUGUCCAACUGAGUAAACAACCUCUUUCAAGCCAGUCAAGCACCAUUUCACAUAAUUGUAUCUGCGUGAUGCUAUCUACACAGCAGGCACUCAUGAGUCAUAGACACAAGUCAAGGUAGGUUAGGGUAUGGGACCUGCGAUAACCAAGUGUCUGAGAAUGGAGGCAGUCUCCCAGAUCUGGGACAGGCAUGAGAAGUCACCAGGAGCCAGGGACCGUUAAGUCAAUGGCUUAAUCAAAACAUGGAGUCAGAAAUCCAGGCAGGACCCAGAGGUCUGGGCAUGUGCCAAUGCCGGUUGCCAAGAGAAGUGGUGGCCUUGAAACCAGGGGCACAAAUGUCAAUAGAUAAGAUUGCUAACUACCUAGUAAAUGAUCCUGAAUCUGGAGGCGGACAGUAAUCAAUAGAUAGUGGACAACAAAUGCAACAUGAGAAGGAGGUAGACUUUCAUAGGCUGCUUCUGUUGAACAAGAAGCAGUAGCCUUGUGCGGCUUGCCUACAGCCUUCAGAUGCAAAUAAGCUAAUGAGAGCACUGAUGUGGGAUAUAGCUUUGCAUGGAGAAAUGCCUUCCUGAAAAUGUUAGGCAUUCAUUCAUGCCCUCUUUAUUUAAAGAACUUAGAGAGUAAAUUAUGGAGAAGUCCAAACACUGAAAUAUUAUGAUUUGCUCUGAAUAUGACUAUUUUUUCAAGUGAGAAAGCAGAGACCCAGAUAAAUGCACUGACUCCCAAGGAAGCAGAGUCAGGAACAGAAUAUAUGGCUUGGAAUAUACAGAACACUCCAUUGUCUGGCACCAUUUAAGACUUGAGUCAGCUAGGUUGAUUCCAUUAACUGAUUAUCCUUUAGGGUCUAUGUCUAAAGGAUCCACCUCUGGUCAGAAGGUUUUCAGGUUAUCUAUGAAAUGUUUCUUUUUCAUUUGGUGGAAACCAGAAUGGAAAAUCUGGAUUGUUAACACUUUCAUUCCUAUCGAUCCAAGCACCCUUUGGGGUACUCAAAGCCUACAGGAGUCUGGCCAUAGAGAGUCUGAGAGUUGUGCUCAAGACAGCUUGAGCUCCAGAUGUCUUGGGCACUCCAGUGUUACAGAAAAUGGUAGAAAGUGUCUCAGACACAGUCUGUGCUAUCUGGACAACAGAUUGAAUAACAGAUAAAGUUUCAUAAGUGGGUACUGCGAUUAUAAGCUUUCAAGAUAUAGGCAGUUAUAAGCAGCUGAAGAGGUAUAGAGAUAAUUUGGGGGUCAUAUUGAGUAAUAAAAUAAUAUUAAUAGUGAUGAUGAUGUGAUAAGGAGGAUUAUGAGAGUGGCAGUUCUGAUGAGAUGAAGAGGAAACAUGCAGUGUCUAUGGGUAAAGAAGCUAACAUGUAUUUUUGGCAUAGGAAUGGUUGACCCCAGAAGGGCAGGACAAGGUCUACCUUUUUCCUUACUUCAUGCUUAGUGUCUUGCUCUGUACCUGGCCCUGCAUGGAAGUGCUGUUAUUAAUAUUAUAGAAUUGAAUGCACUGAUGGCCGUAACUCAUGACCAUGCCAGAGAUGAUAUGUGAUUGGUGUGAAUUUUGUCCCACUGGGUGAAAAAGUCUGGAGCACAGCCUUGAGAUAAGCUGUGGUUUGGCACUCGUCAUCCCUACCUCAUUUAUUUUUUGAGGCAGGCAGUUUUGCCUCAUUGAUUUUCACUGCUCAUCAAGUUCCAUUAGCCUGUUCAUUAGUGACAGCUUCAUUCCCUUCCCACACAUUCUCUCUCCAGAAUGAUGUGUCUUUGUGUCAUUAGCACUGACCGUGAUUGUGGGCAUCAGCGGAACGUGGCAUUACCAGAAGGGCCUGCCUGCUGCAUGUAGCACCCUUCUCUGUCACAUCGAUACCCACAGGAAACAGCAACUUCAAUAACAAAGGACUAAGAGCAUAGGGUUGUCACAUUGACAUUAGAGUUCCAGUCUGUGUGUCUCUCUCUCACACACACACUUUUUUUCUGGAAUAGCACUUCUGCAUUACUUCAGGUACUUCUAGCCACUUACCUAAAUAUGAACACAGUACCAUAACCCCAAACCUGUUCUUGCUCUUGAAUCCAUUUUCCCACUGGAACCACUCUUGACCCUGCAGCCAAAUUAAAGGCAUAGACUCAUCUUUGACCCUUUGCUUUGCUCCGCCUCACAUCUGACCAGGCACCAAGGUCUAACCACACUUUCAGAAAAGCAGUUCUGGGACUCUCCUCUUCUCCCCUUGGCCACAGCCACCACUCUACUCUAGCUCCCUAUUAUAUUUCACCUGGACUUAACCUCAGCUGCUUCUCUGGGCUCCAGACAUUUCUAUCCUUCUAACUCCUCUUCUCCAGGGAACAGUGAGGAUGUGCAGUGUCUGUGAAAGAUUCAGGGAAGACAGUCUCCUGGCAUGGAAGAGAGGGAUAAUAGCAAUCAUUUAUUGAGCAUGUUCACUGAGUAGUCUCUUUAUAUCAGACACUGACAUUAAUAUUUACAUGACUUUCUUUAAUCCUCAUGGAAACCUAAAUGUAGGUACUCUAAUUUACAAGUAAGAGACUCAGGGCAUUUUAAGUGAUAUGCAGAUCACAUACUUGAAAAUGGCAGGACUGGGACUGGAACCCUGGUUUACCUGACUCCAAAGUCCAUGCCAUUUUCAUGACAGCAUCCUGCCUUCCUAGUUGCCUAGGUUCAGAAUCACCUGGACGGCUUGUUAAAACACAGAUUGUGGGGCUCCAUCCUCAGAGUUUCUGAAUCAGUAGUUCUGGGAUAAGUUUGAUAAUUGAGAAUUUGCAUUUCUAAUGGAUUCCAGGUGAUGUUGAUGCUGCUGAUCAGUGCCCACACUUGGAGAGUCAUUCCUCCAAGCGGCAUUUGUUUGGAGCACUUUUUUCCUUAGGAACAGCGCGCAUGGUUCAAAACUCAGUUGUCAGACUGGUUUCAAGUCUUGGAAUCAUGUCUUUGCCUAUGGGCUACAGGAUUUAAUGUUCUUAAAGAGAUCACUUCUCCUAUAAAAUGGGAUGUUUUAGGAUUGAAAAUCAUGUAUAUAAAGCAAUUGGCAUGGAGUUGAACUCCAUAAAUACUAGCUGUUUACAAGUAUCUGAAAUGGGCCCUUUUAGUCUAUUUCUGUCUUUUUGCUGUCCCUCUCACUGUCUUCGACCUUUUGCACUUGACAUUCCUUAGAUUUGGAAUGCUGUUCUCCAGGUCUUUGCAUGGUUCACUCCUCACCACUCAGGUUUCAUCUGAAAUGGGCCCCUCAGGGUCUGGGAGCCCCCAAGCAUGUGAACAUUGUUUGCUUGGAAGGUAGACUUUUAAGUACUAAUCGAAUUUCUAGAAUGAUUGCAGAACUAUUAAGGCUUUCUAUUUUUUCUAUAAUCAGUUGUAAGUUUUGGCUUUUAAGAUAAUUAUCUACUUUCCCUAAGUUUUCAAAUUUAUUGGCAUAAACAAAUUCAUUGUACCAUGUUAUAUAUUUUUAAUCUCCACCCCUCAGUUGUGUAUCCCUUUCACUUCUAAUGUUUUUUGCACCUUCUCUCCUUUUUGUUGAUCAUUCUUGCUGGGUUUUGUCUAUUUAAUUAGUCCUUUAAAAAUACCAAUUUUCCAGUGUUAUCUUUGUUAUUUAUUUCAUGUCUUCCUUCUUACCUUCUAUCUUCCACCCACCUCCCCCAACUUCUAAGACUAGAUGUUUGGAUCUUUGUCAGUGCUUUUCCCUUCUUCUGCAAGCAUCUAAAGCUAUAAAUAUCUCUUGAAUUUCACUUAUCUUAUUCUCAUGGUGGUUGGUUUCCUAUAUGCCUUUUUCUAUUUUUUGAGCUACUUGAGCAAACUAAAUCUGUUGGAAUUCGGAAGGGCCUCAGUUCAGACUCAGCAGAAGGUUUUUUUUUUUUUUUUUGGCUUUGGCCAGGUUCUCAGGCACUGGCCAUCCUGUGUUAAUGGCUCCAUUUAGGGUUUCCCAGAGCACCCAGGUGGUAUAAAUUUAAACCUCAAACCCACACAAGGGUAGGGCCGUGGUGAAGAGUUCUCAGGAGAGACCAUUUUUCACUUCCUCCUGGAUUGAAAAGCGAAACAGAAAUUCUCUCAUCAUCUCCUUCAGAAGGUAGGUGGAAUGUUUUCUAUUCCACCCUUUUGCUGAUGGGGUAGCGCUUCAGGGGCCCUGAACUGAUGCCACUUUUCAGUUCUCACGCUCCUCCUUACACAGGCUCCAUGUUUCUCCUCUCACCAUGAAGCCAUGAAAAAGCCAGAUUGGCAGGUGGCCUUAGGGAGAUUCUGUGCUGUUUUUUUAAAUACUUUUUUUUUUUUGUAUUUGGUUCCUAAGGAUUUUUCUUACCUUCUUGCUCUCUUGGUAUAUAUU